rnacentral:rRNA from 1 species
UACGUAGGGUCCAAGCGUUAUCCGGAAUCACUGGGCGUAAAGCGUUCGUAGGCGGGUAUUUAAGUGAGAUGGGAAAGCGUGUGGCUCAACCAUAUCGUUGUGUCUCAUACUGGGUACCUGGAGGAAGGCAGAGGCAAGUGGAAUUGGCAGUGUAGCAGUGAAAUGCGUAGAGAUUGCCAGGAACACCAAUGGCGAAGGCAGCUUGCUGGGCCUUUUCUGACGCUGAGGAACGAAAGCGUGGGGAGCGAACAGG